UACGGAGGGUGCAAGCGUUGUCCGGAUUCAUUGGGUUUAAAGGGUGCGCAGGCGGGCCAUUAAGUCAGGGGUGAAAGACGGUUGCUCAACAAUCGCAGUGCCUUUGAUACUGGUGGUCUUGGGUGACCUUGAGGUAGGCGGAAUGGGUGGUGUAGCGGUGAAAUGCGCAGAUAUCAGGAAGAACACCCGUGGCGAAGGCGGCUCUCUGGGACGGUACUGACGCUGAGACGCGAAAGCGUGGGGAGCGAACAGG
rnacentral:rRNA from 1 species